CGGGCGUGUAGGAGUUGGAGAAUGAGUGGAUUUGUCCUGUGUACCUAGUAGCCGACUGACUUCUGAAUGCGGUUUUCACAGGAUGAUGGUCCAAGGGAAAAAAUGUCCAGUUCAGCCUGCAACUCAACAACUGUACGAAAGCUUUUUUCCAAGAAAUAAUUGUAUUUCUAGAUGGCAUCAGUGGAAAUUUACACAUACUUCCCCUUUUAUCAACAGAACAUUAAGGAGUAUCUGGAAGGAGGCUACACAGAAAUUAGCAGGAAAUAAGUGACAACAAAAUUUAUCAGUUAAGAAGUGACCAAAGAAUUAACUGCAACCCCCAUCUGGUGCAGUAUCACAUGGUGAAGUGUUAAGUGACAAUAGCAAUUUUUGGGAAUCUGGUUCAGAGAAUCAUGAAAGACCAGCGGAGGCAUCACUGUGAGCAAGAGUAAUAACCACAAUAUUUAACCAUCAAUAGGAAGAGGACUUAAAGCAAUCAGAAUACAUCAACAUCAUCAACUAUGAUGGGAGCUUAUUCAUUUUAUUCUGUAGUUUUCUGGAAAAAUUACUUAACUUCUGAUUCUGACAAGACA